rnacentral:rRNA from 1 species
AACGAACGCUGGCGGCAUGCCUAACACAUGCAAGUCGAACGCAUGUAGCAAUACAUGAGUGGCGAACGGGUGAGUAACGCGUGGGAACCUGCCUAGUGGUAGGGAAUAACCGCGGGAAACUGCGGCUAAUACCCUAUGAGCCCUCCGGGGAAGAUUUAUCGCCAUUAGAGGGGCCCGCGUCGGAUUAGCUAGUUGGUGGGGUAACGGCCCACCAAGGCGACGAUCCGUAGCUGGUCUGAGAGGAUGAUCAGCCACACUGGGACUGAGAUACGGCCCAGACUCCUACGGGAGGCAGCAGUGGGGAAUAUUGGACAAUGGGGGCGAACCCUGAUCCAGCAAUGCCGCGUGAGUGAAGAAGGCCUUAGGGUUGUAAAGCUCUUUCGGCGGGGAAGAUGAUGACGGUACCCGCAGAAGAAGCCCCGGCUAACUUCGUGCCAGCCCGCCGCCGUAAG